rnacentral:rRNA from 1 species
GAUGAACGCUAGCGGCAGGCCUAAUACAUGCAAGUCGAACGAUACUUUCCAGCUUGCUGGAGAGGAAAGUGGCGCACGGGUGCGUAACGCGUAUGCAACCUACCUUAAUCAGGGGAUAGCCCGAAGAAAUUCGGAUUAACACCGCAUAAAAACACAGGAUAGCAUUAUCCAAUGUUCAAAUAUUUAUGGGAUUAAGAUGG